UGGGGAAUAUUGCACAAUGGGGGAAACCCUGAUGCAGCGACGCCGCGUGAGCGAAGAAGGAUUUCGAAUCGUAAAGCUCUGUCCUAUGAGAAGAUAAUGACGGUAUCAUAGGAGGAAGCCCCGGCUAACUACGUGCUAGCAGCCGCGGUAAUACGUAGGGGGCUAGCGUUGUCCGGAAUCACUGGGCGUAAAGGGUUCGCAGGCGGAAAUGCAAGUCAGGUGUAAAAGGCAGUAGCUUAACUACUGUAAGCAUUUGAAACUGUAUAUCUUGAGAAGAGUAGAGGUAAGUGGAAUUUUUAGUGUAGCGGUGAAAUGCGUAGAUAUUAAAAAGAAUACCGGUGGCGAAGGCGACUUACUGGGCUCAUUCUGACGCUAAGAAACGAAAGAGUGGGUAGCAAACAGG
rnacentral:rRNA from 1 species